GGUCCAAUAGUCUAGUGGUUAUGACAUCUGUCUUACAUUCGGUCGUAUAGUUGUAUACACAGAAGGUCUCCGGUUCGACCCCGGAUUGGACCA
rfam:Schizophyllum commune H4-8 unplaced genomic scaffold SCHCOscaffold_9, whole genome shotgun sequence.